UCAGAUAUGGUGUAAUGGCUAACGUUGCCGCCUCUCACCGAAUUCCACUCGAAGUUUGGCCACAGCAGCUCGGGGUUCGAUUCCCUGUAUCCGAA